rnacentral:rRNA from 1 species
GAUGAACGCUGGCGGCGUGCUUAACACAUGCAAGUCGAACGAAGCUGCCUGGAGGAAGUUUUCGGAUGGAAUUUAGGUAGACUUAGUGGCGGACGGGUGAGUAACGCGUGGAUAACCUGCCUUAUACAGGGGGAUAACGGAGAGAAAUUUCCGCUAACACCGCAUAAGACCACAGCACCGCAUGGUGCAGGGGUAAAAUAUUUAUAGGUAUAAGAUGGAUCCGCGUCCGAUUAGCUAGUUGGUGAGGUAAAGGCCCACCAAGGCGACGAUCGGUAGCCGGCCUGAGAGGGUGAACGGCCACAUUGGGACUGAGACACGGCCCAAACUCCUACGGGAGGCAGCAGUGGGGAAUAUUGGACAAUGGGGGAAACCCUGAUCCAGCGACGCCGCGUGAGUGAAGAAGUAUUUCGGUAUGUAAAGCUCUAUCAGCAGGGAAGAAAAUGACGGUACCUGACUAAGAAGCCCCGGCUAACUACGUGCCAGCAGCCGCGGUAAUACGUAGGGGGCAAGCGUUAUCCGGAUUUUACUGGGUGUUAAGGGAGCGCAGACGGCAAUGCAAGUCUGAAAGUGUGAAGGCGUGGGCUCAUACCCAUGAACUGUUUUUGAAACUGUAUAGCUUGAGUGUCUAGAAGGG